UUUUCUCAAGUUUUGACCUCGGAUCAGAUAGGAUACCCGCUGAACUUAAGCAUAUAGAUAGGC
rnacentral:rRNA from 1 species